rnacentral:rRNA from 1 species
AGUGAACGCUGGCGGUAGGCCUAACACAUGCAAGUCGAACGGCAGCACAGUAAGAGCUUGCUCUUACGGGUGGCGAGUGGCGGACGGGUGAGGAAUACAUCGGAAUCUACUUUUUCGUGGGGGAUAACGUAGGGAAACUUACGCUAAUACCGCAUACGACCUACGGGUGAAAGCAGGGGAUCUUCGGACCUUGCGCGAUUGAAUGAGCCGAUGUCGGAUUAGCUAGUUGGCGGGGUAAAGGCCCACCAAGGCGACGAUCCGUAGCUGGUCUGAGAGGAUGACCAUCCAGACUGGAACGAGUCCACGGUCCAGACAGAUGAGGGAGGGGGAAGUGAGAUAGAGGGAACAGGGGGCGAAGGGCAGAUGAAGACAGCCGGGGGGGGUGAAGUAGGCCUUGGGGUUGUGAGGCCGUGUGGGGGAGAAAGAGAGGAGGCAUGGUAAUCCCACGCUGGUCGGACGGAACCAAAAGAAUAAGCGCCGGCUACCUUCGUGCCAGCGGCGGCGGUAAUAAGCGGAAGAGCACAUGGCUGAAC